rnacentral:rRNA from 1 species
AGUGAACGCUGGCGGUAGGCCUAACACAUGCAAGUCGAACGGCAGCACAGUAAGAGCUUGCUCUUACGGGUGGCGGGUGGCGGACGGGUGAGGAAUACAUCGGAAUCUACUUUUUCGUGGGGGAUAACGUAGGGAAACUUACGCUAAUACCGCAUACGACCUACGGGUGAAAGCAGGGGAUCUUCGGACCUUGCGCGAUUGAAUGAGCCGAUGUCGGAUUAGCUAGUUGGCGGGGUAAAGGCCCACCAAGGCGACGAUCCGUAGCUGGUCUGAGAGGAUGAUCAGCCACACUGGAACUGAGACACGGUCCAGACUCCUACGGGAGGCAGCAGUGGGGAAUAUUGGACAAUGGGCGCAAGCCUGAUCCAGCCAUACCGCGUGGGUGAAGAAGGCCUUCGGGUUGUAAAGCCCUUUUGUUGGGAAAGAAAAGCAGCGGGUUAAUACCCCGCUGUUCUGACGGUACCCAAAGAAUAAGCACCGGCUAACUUCGUG